CCUGCUGGCCAUGCUUCUUUUGAUGCAGCCCAGGAUAUAGUUGGCUUUCUGGGCUGCAAGGACAUGUUGCUCACAUCCAACAUCAUCAUGUCCAGCUUCCAAUCCACCUGUAGUCCCAGGUAGACAUGGCUGUGCUCAAUCCUUUCAUCUCCCAGCUUGCACUAACAGUGGAUGUUGCCACAACCCAGGUGCAAGACUUUGCGCUUCGCUGCGUGAAGAUUCUCUUCAUAAGGUUCUAUGACAUCAGCAGUUCUUCCUUUGUCCACUCAUGCAGCUUUGACAUCAUAGAAAGCCACUAUGUUGAUCAGGUAGGACCUGCCCUUGGUGAAGCCUUGCUGGAUGAUCGCUAUCACCUCCCUGUCUUCCAUGUGCCUUAGCAUAGCUUCCAGAGAAGAUCUACAGUUUGUCCCCACAGGACAUCGCUCAUGAAGGACAGUGUGGUCACCAGCUCCUGUGGUUUUUCAGUGGGUCAUUCAGUGGGACUUUCAAUUCCCAUGGGCACCUUGGAACAUCCCAUUGGUCUUUUGUCUUCAUUGGGCCACACAGUCUCUGAUUGCUGCCCAAAUGGGUAGGAAGGCAGGAAGGCAACAAGCCAAGAAGUUGCAAGAAGAGAUGAGAAGUAGUGAAGGUUUUGUUGAGCUGUGCCUCCCAUGCAUGGCCUGCCCCUCUCUAGAUGGUGUUUUGGCACCAGGGAUAUCGAGGGGGGGUGCUGUAUUCUAAAGAAAUGCAUCCUUUUUUCUUCUUCUUCUUUUAUUUUUUUUCUUCUCUGGUCAAUAAAGCUGCAGUUUGACUUUAGGGUGAA